CAUUGUAUCCAUAUAGGUGACUGGAUCCUCGUUGUUCUCAUCGAGCUCAACAGGAUCCCCGUCUCGGACCAAGAAACCUAGGUAUUUGUCCAGCUGAUGUGGUACUCUACUAGAUCAUCUUAAGGAUGUUUGUAUAUUGAGCUUCGAGUUUGAUCUUAUCAAAUCUGAUUCAGAUUCAGUCACUAGUGUCGGUUCUUCUACCUGUCAAACUUCAUCAAGCUCGACUUUAAAGGCACUUAUUC
rnacentral:lncRNA from 1 species